rnacentral:rRNA from 1 species
UACGUAGGGUGCAAGCGUUGUCCGGAAUUAUUGGGCGUAAAGAGCUCGUAGGCGGUUCGUCGCGUCGGCUGUGAAAACCUGAGGCUCAACCUCAGGCCUGCAGUCGAUACGGGCGGACUAGAGGUAUGCAGGGGAGAACGGAAUUCCUGGUGUAGCGGUGAAAUGCGCAGAUAUCAGGAGGAACACCGGUGGCGAAGGCGGUUCUCUGGGCAUUACCUGACGCUGAGGAGCGAAAGUGUGGGGAGCGAACAGG